CCUGCCUCAGUUUCCCGGCCUGCCCCGAGCUCCUCGGGCUGCAGCAGGAGUUGAUCGUGAAGCGCUCGGCCCGGAGCCCGGGCCGGGGAGGGCGUCGGGAAGGGGGCGGCCGCGGCCCGGACUUACGUGCUUGAGGCAGCGCUCCUUGAGCUUCUCCACCGAGGUGUCCUCGGUCGCCUCCUCCAGCCACUCGGCGCCGUCGGAAGCGCAGAUGUGCAGCCGCAGCACCUUGCCCGCGAAAAUCUUCUCCUCCUGCACGAACAUCGCGCCGCCGCCGCCCGGCCUGCGCCCGCCGCCCGGGCCGUGAAGGUCACCGGGGCGGGGCUAGGCCGCCCGCGCGCUCCCUCGCCGGCCGCCGCCGCCCCGCCCCGGCUCCCCCUCGGCCGGCCGCCCGUCACUUGCCGCGGGCCGAGCGGUCGCCUCGCUCCCGCCGCCGGGCCGCCGGGGGCGCGCUGUCCCCGCCGCGCCGGAAGUGCGUCACAGCGCGCGCCCGGAGCCUACCGGGAGAUGUGGUUCUCCCGUAGCCCCGGCGCGCCCGUCGCCGCGCAGGAAGUGCGUCAGAGGGAGCGCCCGGGCAUGCCGGGAGCUGUAGUUCUCUUGCUGCCGCCUCCGUCCCACACAGCUUCCUUGCACUUCGCAGCUCCGGGCCGCAGGCACGCGGGACGGUCGAGUUUGGUGAUCAGUUCUGAGAUGCGCUCUGGGUGAAAAAUACACAGCAGGUCUCCGAGAGUCCGCGGGGAAAAGGAAUGAAAAAUACUCCCUGUUGUCUUUGUAUUGACUAUAAGUUAUUGAUUAUAGACUGUUAUAUGAAAUAACAGUCUAGGUGUAUCGGGUUAUGUAAGGUGUGUUGAAAUUGAUUUCUCCUGUUUCUCUUAAAGCGGAGCCUACCCACAGUUUUAAUUGCA